rnacentral:lncRNA from 1 species
AUGACCAAACCAGACAGAAUCUCUCUCUCAUUUCACCUCAUCUGUCCUGCUGGGUCUUCCACAGGGUCUUCGUGCUCUGGGCACACAUCUUUUAAGAAGGCACCCCUGAGGUCACAGGGGGAGGAGGUGGGGAAGAAGAUCCUCCAUGUCUGCAUCUGUGAGGCAAACACAUCCCAUCAGGCAGAAGACAGAAAACAUAAAAAGAGAAGCAUGUUCCCCAUUUCUCUUUCCACAAUCCUGUGAUACUUCAGGGACUCCCUAACUUCCAGAUCAAAGUGAAAAUCAUUUUGGAUUACGUUGCAAUAGAUAUGAUUACUCAACUACAACUUGUCUACAACUUUUAAAAUCCUCUAAAGAUUCAGCUUCAAUAACAAUUUGUGGCAAUGAGUUACACAGAUGGCUCAUGUAUUGUUAAAAAAGCACCUGGAAAAAAUACCUCCCAGAUUAGCUGAACAACCAGCUACUAUUUCUGUAGUGUGCUCCGUGCACCGUCAUAUUUUUUAUACCAUUCAAUUACAUCUCUUCCUGCUGUUAUAAACUACAUAACCAAAGGCUUUAAUUUUCAGUCUUUCCUUGUGAAGCCCACCUUGCAGAAAUAUUAAUCAUUUCUGACAGUGUCAAAAGAGGUUGGUGACUUGUGAAAUAGGCUGUACCAGCACUGAAGAAGACAAUCUUAUUGAAGCCGAGUUAUUGAUGACACAAUGGUGUUUCUAGGUCUGAGGAGUUUCUUGGAGCUUCAGACAUUGUGAGAAAACUUUUGCAGAGCUCUGUGAAGUCUCCAGACCUGUGGAAGGCCAGACACUCAAGAAUUCCAAUGAUGUCUUGCAGACAUAUAAAAUAGCUCCAGUGAGGGUAUCAUUCAUUUGCCAAAG